UCGGGAAUUUUGGGCAAUGGGCGCAAGCCUGACCCAGCAACGCCGCGUGGAGGAUGAAGUUUCUCGGAAUGUAAACUCCGUAAGAAUGGGAAGAAUAAGGGGGCGAUAACACCGACCCCGAUGACGGUACCAUUCGUAAGCUCCGGCUAACUCCGUGCCAGCAGCCGCGGUAAUACGGGGGGAGCAAGCGUUGUUCGGAUUUACUGGGCGUAAAGGGCGCGUAGGCGGCGCAACAAGUCACUUGUGAAAUCUCCGGGCUUAACUCGGAGCGGUCAAGUGAUACUGUCGUGCUAGAGUGCGGAAGGGGCAACUGGAAUUCUCGGUGUAGCGGUGAAAUGCGUAGAUAUCGAGAGGAACACCUGCGGCGAAGGCGGGUUGCUGGGCCGACACUGACGCUGAGGCGCGAAAGCUAGGGGAGCGAACGG
rnacentral:rRNA from 1 species